rnacentral:rRNA from 1 species
UACGUAGGGGGCAAGCGUUGUCCGGAUUUAUUGGGCGUAAAGAGCGUGUAGGCGGUUAGGUAGGUCCGAUGUGAAAACUCGAGGCUCAACCUCGAGACGCCGAUGGAAACCAUCUAACUAGAGUCCGGAAGAGGAGAAUGGAAUUCCUGGUGUAGCGGUGAAAUGCGCAGAUAUCAGGAAGAACACCCGUGGCUAAGGCGGUUCUCUAGUACGGUACUGACGCUGAGACGCGAAAGCGUGGGGAGCGAACAGG